UACGUAGGUGGCAAGCGUUGUCCGGAAUUAUUGGGCGUAAAGCGCGCGCAGGCGGUCCUUUAAGUCUGAUGUGAAAGCCCACGGCUCAACCGUGGAGGGUCAUUGGAAACUGGGGGACUUGAGUGCAGAAGAGGAGAGUGGAAUUCCACGUGUAGCGGUGAAAUGCGUAGAGAUGUGGAGGAACACCAGUGGCGAAGGCGGCUCACUGGACUGGUAUUGACGCUGAGGUGCGAAAGCGUGGGGAGCAAACAGG
rnacentral:rRNA from 1 species